CCCUUAGAUGUUCUGGGCCGCACGCGCGCUACACUGAAGGGAUCAGCGUGUUUUCCCUUCCCGAGAGGGACGGGUAACCCGCUGAACCCCCUUCGUGGUAGGGAUCGGAGCUUGCAAUUGUUCUCCGUGAACCAGGAAUUCCCAGUAAGCGCAAGUCAUAAGCUUGCGUUGAUUGCGUCCCUGCCCUUUGUACACACCGCCCGUCGCUACUACCGAUUGAACGUUUUAGUGAGGUAUUUGGACUGGGCCUUGGGAGGUUUCGGCCUCCCUUGUUGCUCGGAAAGACUCCCAAACUUGAGCGUUUAGAGGAAGUAAAAGUCGUAACA
rnacentral:rRNA from 1 species